UGUCUUCACCCUACAAGUCUCUGAAGUGACAGGGAAUCAAUUUUGUCUCCACUAAAAGCCAACUUUGGAAGGCCCACUCUGAAAGACAAAACAGGGAUUCAGGAGUAGCAUGCUAGUCACACAAUCUCCAUCAUCUAAAUGUACAUUCUUGCUACAUCAACCUACUAUCAGGGAGAUUAAGAAAAUGUAUUUAGUGACCUGAACUGAUAAGUGAAAGUGAAGACCUUGCCUUGGAUGGGUUAAUAUUCUUAGCCCCACUUCCUCUAUAACCACCAGACCACAUUGAUCAGAACCAGAAAACUUGUGGGACCAGAAUGUAUGGAACUCUCCAUUUCUGCAUUCUUGCUACGCAUCCGUUCCACAAGGAAUCAUUGAGUGAAAAGGCACUGCUUGACCCUGGUACUGGAGCCACAGAGAGUGUGACUGUGAUGAACCAGCCAACGUCCCACUUCCCUGAGAGACUGAGUGUUCUUCUACCUCCCCAGCCUCUCCUACUGACUCUGGGUGUGAUAGAAGGGUCAGUCCUGGACCCUUUAUAAAAGCUCGUGGUAAGAAGGCUGUUCCUAAUUGUGUAUGUAGAAUGUGGGAUAUUUGACACCUUUCAUCCUUAGUUCUU
rnacentral:lncRNA from 1 species